rnacentral:rRNA from 1 species
UACGUAGGGUGCAAGCGUUGUCCGGAAUUAUUGGGCGUAAAGAGCUCGUAGGCGGUCUGUCGCGUCUGCUGUGAAAAUCCGGGGCUCAACCCCGGACUUGCAGUGGGUACGGGCAGACUGGAGUGUGGUAGGGGAGACUGGAAUCCUGGUGUAGCGGUGGAAUGCGCAGAGUAUCAGGAGGAACACCGAUGGCGAAGGCAGGUCUCUGGGCCACUACUGACGCUGAGAAGCGAAAGCGUGGGGAGCAAACAGG